rnacentral:rRNA from 1 species
AGCGAACGCUGGCGGCAGGCUUAACACAUGCAAGUCGAACGAACCCUUCGGGGUUAGUGGCGGACGGGUGAGUAACACGUGGGAACGUGCCCUUAGGUUCGGAACAACACAGGGAAACUUGUGCUAAUACCGGAUGUGCCCUUACGGGGAAGAUUUAUCGCCUUUGGAGCGGCCCGCGUCUGAUUAGCUUGUUGGUGAGGUAAAGGCUCACCAAGGCUACGAUCAGUAGCUGGUCUGAGAGGANGGCCAGCCACAUUGGGACUGAGACACGGCCCAAACUCCUACGGGAGGCAGCAGUGGGGAAUCUUGCGUAA